rnacentral:lncRNA from 1 species
UAAACACAUAAAGAUGCCACGGGACAAAGCCUGCUCAGGCUCCUUGGAUGCUUGAACGUGGUUCUCGGAUUUGUUAGGAUUGCGGCUUCAUUUCAGAAGAUCACCCCCAGAGCAAGGUGGACCUGUUCUGAUAUGGGACUCAUAAGAAGUGGGAUACUGUCAAGAUCACACGUCAUUAUGGUGAACUCUAAAUCCCCAGGGUCUAGUGGUGUGGAUAAA